UACGUAGGAGACGAGCGUUGUCCGGAGUUACUGGGCGUAAAGCGUGCGCAGGCGGUUCGUUGUGUCGGCGGUGAAAGCCCCGGGCUUAACCUGGGAAUGGCCGUCGAAACUGGCGAACUGGAGUGUGGCAGAGGGGGAUGGAAUUCCGCGUGUAGCAGUGAAAUGCGUAGAUAUGCGGAGGAACACCGAUGGCGAAGGCAAUCCCCUGGGCCUGCACUGACGCUCAUGCACGAAAGCGUGGGGAGCAAACAGG
rnacentral:rRNA from 1 species